UACGGAGGGUGCAAGCGUUAUCCGGAUUCACUGGGUUUAAAGGGUGCGUAGGCGGACAGGUAAGUCAGUGGUGAAAUCUCCGAGCUUAACUCGGAAACUGCCGUUGAUACUAUUUGUCUUGAAUAUUGUGGAGGUAAGCGGAAUAUGUCAUGUAGCGGUGAAAUGCUUAGAUAUGACAUAGAACACCCAUUGCGAAGGCAGCUUACUACGGAUAUAUUGACACUGAGGCUCGAAAGCGUGGGGAUCAAACAGG
rnacentral:rRNA from 1 species